rnacentral:misc_RNA from 1 species
GAUGAAGAACGUAGCGAAAUGCGAUAAGUAAUGUGAAUUGCAGCAUUCAGUGAAUCAUCGAAUCUUUGAACGCACAUUGCGCCCGCUGGUAUUCCGGCGGGCAUGCCUGUUCGAGCGUCAUUUCAACCCUCAAGCCCCCGGGUUUGGUGUUGGGGAUCGGCUCUGCCCUUCUGGGCGGUGCCGCCCCCGAAAUACAUUGGCGGUCUCGCUGCAGCCUCCAUUGCGUAGUAGCUAACACCUCGCAACUGGAACGCGGCGCGGCCAUGCCGUAAAACCCCAACUUCUGAAUGUUGACCUCGGAUCAGGUAGGAAUACCCGCUGAACUUAAGCAUAUCAAUAAGCGGAGGA